rnacentral:misc_RNA from 1 species
GAAAUGCGAUAAGUAAUGUGAAUUGCAGAAUUCAGUGAAUCAUCGAAUCUUUGAACGCACCUUGCGCUCCCUGGUAUUCCGGGGAGCAUGCCUGUUUGAGUGUCGUGAAUAUCUCGUCUCUACAACUUUGUUAAUCAAAUUGUAGGGUGGAUGUUGGGGGCUUUGCUGGUUAUCUAUAUUAAUCGGCUCCUCUUGAAUAUAUUAGCUCGGGCUUACCUUUAGAGCGGUUCACGGUGUGAUACAUUAUCUACACCCUGGUAAAUCCAAUGCUCUCUAGUGUGUUACCGGCUUCUAAUCGGUCAUUGUUACCAACUUUUGACAUCUGACCUCAAAUCAGGUAGGACUACCCGCUGAACUUAA